AUUGAACGCUGGCGGCAUGCUUUACACAUGCAAGUCGGACGGUAACAGGCCUUCGGGUGCUGACGAGUGGCGCACGGGUGAGUAAUGCAUCGGAACGUACCCAGAGGUGGGGGAUAACGCAGCGAAAGCUGUGCUAAUACCGCAUGUGAUCUGAGGAUGAAAGCGGGGGACCGAGCAGCAAUGUUUGGCCUCGCGCCUUUGGAGCGGCCGAUGUCGGAUUAGCUAGUUGGUGGGGUAAAGGCCUACCAAGGCGACGAUCCGUAGCUGGUCUGAGAGGACGACCAGCCACACUGGGACUGAGACACGGCCCAGACUCCUACGGGAGGCAGCAGUGGGGAAUUUUGGACAAUGGGCGCAAGCCUGAUCCAGCAAUGCCGCGUGCGGGAAGAAGGCCUUCGGGUUGUAAACCGCUUUUGGCAGGAACGAAACGGUGUCCGCUAAUACCGGGCGCUAAUGACGGUACCUGCAGAAUAAGCACCGGCUAACUACGUG
rnacentral:rRNA from 1 species